rnacentral:rRNA from 1 species
AUGGCAACUCCCGGCAAGCCCGACCCGGCCGCUGUGCCGCCGAAAGCGCCGCAGCCACCGGUGAAGGGGGCCAUCAUGCGCUGCGUCUUCCCCUUCCUCCUCGCCACCAACAUCUUCACCGGAGUUUAUGUAUUUGCAAAGACCUACAAACGAGACCAGGACAAGAAAAAUGCUGAGACCGCAGCAGCAGCAGCAGCUGCAGCAGCAUUGUCAGCCCCACCUGUUGCAGUUGCUAAGCCUGCAGAGCCUGCUCCUCCGCCGAAAAGAGUACUCCCACCUUUAUCCGAAGAUGAGCAGCGCCAGGUCUACAAGUGGAUGCUGGAAGAGAAGCGGAAGAGCAAACCACGUGACGCUGCUGAGAAGAACAAAAUCAAUGAGGAGAAGGCUCUUCUCAAGGAGAUCAUCAGGGCAGACUCUCUCCCUCGUUUGUGGUGA